GAUGAACGCUGGCGGCGUGCCUAAUACAUGCAAGUCGAGCGAACGGACGAGAAGCUUGCUUUUCUGAUGUUAGCGGCGGACGGGUGAGUAACACGUGGAUAACCUACCUAUAAGACUGGGAUAACUUCGGGAAACCGGAGCUAAUACCGGAUAAUAUUUUGAACCGCAUGGUUCAAAAGUGAAAGCCGGUCUUGCUGUCACUUAUAGAUGGAUCCGCGCUGCAUUAGCUAGUUGGUAAGGUAACGGCUUACCAAGGCAACGAUGCAUAGCCGACCUGAGAGGGGGAUCGGCCACACUGGAACUGAGACACGGUCCAGACUCCUACGGGAGGCAGCAGUAGGGAAUCCUCCGCAAUGGGCGAAAGCCUGACGGGGCAACGCCGCGUGAGUGAUGAAGGUCUUCGGAUCGUAAAACUCUGUUAUUAGGGAAGAACAUAUGUGUAAGUAACUGUGCACAUCUUGACGGUACCUAAUCAGAAAGCCACGGCUAACUACGUG
rnacentral:rRNA from 1 species